GGUUUCCGUAGGUGAACCUGCGGAAGGAUCAUUAA
rnacentral:rRNA from 3 species